rnacentral:rRNA from 1 species
GAUGAACGCUGGCGGCGUGCCUAAUACAUGCAAGUCGAGCGAAUGGAUUAAGAGCUUGCUCUUAUGAAGCUAGCGGCGGACGGGUGAGUAACACGUGGGUAACCUGCCCAUAAGACUGGGAUAACUCCGGGAAACCGGGGCUAAUACCGGAUAACAUUUUGAACCGCAUGGUUCGAAAUUGAAAGGCGGCUUCGGCUGUCACUUAUGGAUGGACCCGCGUCGCAUUAGCUAGUUGGUGGGGGAACGGCUCACCAAGGCAACGAUGCGUAGGCGCACUGAGAGGCUGAUCGGCCACAAUGGGACUGAGACACGGCCCAGACUCCUACGGGAGGCAGCAGUAGGGAAUCUUCCGCAAUGGACGAAAGUCUGACGGAGCAACGCCGCGUGAGUGAUGAAGGCUUUCGGGUCGUAAAACUCUGUUGUUAGGGAAGAACAAGUGCUAGUUGAAUAAGCUGGCACCUUGACGGUACCUAACCAGAAAGCCACGGCUAACUACGUGCCAGCCGCCGCAGUAA